CGACGAUAGAAAAUAGCAGAAGUUGUCAGAGAUGCGCACACCCCUCGUCACGCGCCUCUUGGCUAGCAAGUUGUGUAGAACUUUGCUCGAGGACAUUCCGGCAACCAUCUGUUUCCGGAAGAACUCUGAGCGCAGGGCAGGAAGCAGAGUUCGCAAAUUUGCGGGGAAAGGUGGUUGUCUGCCAAUACGCCUGUUACUGUGAAAAUGCUCCGUUUGAUUUAUUUUCUCUCUCCACUCAACUUUUCUAAAGACUUAACAGGAGAAGAGAUCAAAAACAUGCAUAUUUGAGCGAGACAGAGACAGACAGAGAGAGCGAGAGAAACAUAGAGAGAGAGAGAUGGCUAGAGGAAGAUUGAGCAAGAUGGAAGGAAGAGAGACCAGGGAAAGUACAGCAUCCAAUGAUUUGGGCCAGUUCCAGAGGGGUUAUAGAGCAGGUGGGUGCUCCACUGUUCACCAUCAGGUGUUGUAUUUUCUAUUCUACUGCAGAGAUGAGACCACCUGGCCUCACUGAGUCCCACCUGACACCAUGGCAAUCAGGAAAUGGAGUAAUGACAUCACAGUGUUUCAUUAAAACAUGAUAAUGUAUAUCGACACAUACGUUGUUUCAUUGUUACUGUCUGUGUAUUU
rnacentral:lncRNA from 1 species